rnacentral:rRNA from 1 species
GACGAACGCUGGCGGCGUGCUUAACACAUGCAAGUCGAACGGAAAGGCCCUGCUUUCGUGGGGUGCUCGAGUGGCACAGGGGUGGAAAACAUGUGAGUAACCCGCCCUUGACUUGGGGAUAACUUGAAGAAACUGGGGCUAAUACCGGAUAGGAGCUCCUGCUGCAUGGGGGGGGUUGGAAAGUUUAGGCGGUUGGGGACGGACUCCGGGGUUAUCAGCUUGUUGGGUGGGGACUGGCUUACCAGGGGUUUGACGGGUAGCCGGCAUGGGAGGGGGACCGGCAACAUGGGGACUGAGAGACGGCCCAGACUCUAACGGGGGGCAGCAGGGGGAAUAAUGGCACAAGGGGGGGAGGCCUGUGGAAGCAACCCCGGGUGCGGAAUGCCGGCUUUCGGGUGGUAAACCGCUUUGGCAUGGGACGAGGCGUGAGUGACGGUAAUGAGAGAAGAAGCACCGGCUAACUACGUG